rnacentral:rRNA from 1 species
CACGUAGGGCGCAAGCGUUGUCCGGAAUUAUUGGGCGUAAAGAGCUCGUAGGCGGUCUGUUGCGUCCGCUGUGAAAACUCGGGGCUUAACCCCGAGCCUGCAGUGGAUACGGGCAGACUAGAGGUAGGUAGGGGAGAAUGGAAUUCCCGGUGUAGCGGUGAAAUGCGUAGAUAUCUGGAGGAACACCGGUGGCGAAGGCGGCAUCCUGGACCGGUAUUGACGCUGAGGCGCGAAAGCUAGGGGAGCAAACGGG